GGGCAUCUUGGGCUACACUGAGGACCAGGUUGUCUCCUGCGACUUCAACAGCAACUCCCACUCUUCCACCUUCGAUGCCGGGGCUGGCAUUGCUCUCAAUGACAACUUUGUCAAGCUCAUUUCCUGGUAUGACAAUGAAUACGGCUACAGCAACAGGGUGGUGGACCUCAUGGCCUACAUGGCCUCCAAGGAGUAAGAAACCCUGGACCACCCACCCCAGCAAGGACACUGAGCAAGAGAGAGGCCCUAUCCCAACUCGGCCCCCAACACUGAGCAUCUCCCUCACAAUUUCCAUCCCAGACCCCCAUAAUAACAGGAGGGGCCUAGGGAGCCCUCCCUACUCUCUUGAAUACCAUCAAUAAAGUUCGCUGCACCCAAAAAAAAAAAAAAAAAAAAAAA
rnacentral:lncRNA from 1 species